rnacentral:rRNA from 1 species
GUCGAACGAUGAAGCCGCUUCGGUGGUGGAUUAGUGGCGAACGGGUGAGUAACACGUGGGCAAUCUGCCCUUCACUCUGGGACAAGCCCUGGAAACGGGGUCUAAUACCGGAUAACACUCUGUCCCGCAUGGGACGGGGUUAAAAGCUCCGGCGGUGAAGGAUGAGCCCGCGGCCUAUCAGCUUGUUGGUGGGGUAAUGGCCUACCAAGGCGACGACGGGUAGCCGGCCUGAGAGGGCGACCGGCCACACUGGGACUGAGACACGGCCCAGACUCCUACGGGAGGCAGCAGUGGGGAAUAUUGCACAAUGGGCGAAAGCCUGAUGCAGCGACGCCGCGUGAGGGAUGACGGCCUUCGGGUUGUAAACCUCUUUCAGCAGGGAAGAAGCGAAAGUGACGGUACCUGCAGAAGAAGCGCCGGCUAACUACGUGCCAGCAGCCGCGGUAAUACGUAGGGCGCAAGCGUUGUCCGGAAUUAUUGGGCGUAAAGAGCUCGUAGGCGGCUUGUCACGUCGGAUGUGAAAGCCCGGGGCUUAACCCCGGGUCUGCAUUCGAUACGGGCUAGCUAGAGUGUGGUAGGGGAGAUCGGAAUUCCUGGUGUAGCGGUGAAAUGCGCAGAUAUCAGGAGGAACACCGGUGGCGAAGGCGGAUCUCUGGGCCAUUACUGACGCUGAGGAGCGAAAGCGUGGGGAGCGAACAGGAUUAGAUACCCUGGUAGUCCACGCCGUAAACGUUGGGAACUAGGUGUUGGCGACAUUCCACGUCGUCGGUGCCGCAGCUAACGCAUUAAGUUCCCCGCCUGGGGAGUACGGCCGCAAGGCUAAAACUCAAAGGAAUUGACGGGGGCCCGCACAAGCAGCGGAGCAUGUGGCUUAAUUCGACGCAACGCGAAGAACCUUACCAAGGCUUGACAUAUACCGGAAAGCAUCAGAGAUGGUGCCCCCCUUGUGGUCGGUAUACAGGUGGUGCAUGGCUGUCGUCAGCUCCUGUCGUGAGAUGUUGGGUUAAGUCCCGCAACGAGCGCAACCCUUGUUCUGUGUUGCCAGCAUGCCCUUCGGGGUGAUGGGGACUCACAGGAGACUGCCGGGGUCAACUCGGAGGAAGGUGGGGACGACGUCAAGUCAUCAUGCCCCUUAUGUCUUGGGCUGCACACGUGCUACAAUGGCCGGUACAAUGAGCUGCGAUGCCGCGAGGCGGAGCGAAUCUCAAAAAGCCGGUCUCAGUUCGGAUUGGGGUCUGCAACUCGACCCCAUGAAGUCGGAGUUGCUAGUAAUCGCAGAUCAGCAUUGCUGCGGUGAAUACGUUCCCGGGCCUUGUACACACCGCCCGUCACGUCACGAAAGUCGGUAACACCCGAAGCCGGUGGCCCAACCCCUUGUGGGAGGGAGC